rnacentral:rRNA from 1 species
UACACUCCUGCGGGAGGCAGCAGUGGGGAAUAUUGCACAAUGGGCGCAAGCCUGAUGCAGCCAUGCCGCGUGUAUGAAGAAGGCCUUCGGGUUGUAAAGUACUUUCAGCGGGGAGGAAGGCGAUAAGGUUAAUAACCUUGUUGAUUGACGUUACCCGCAGAAGAAGCACCGGCUAACUCCGUGCCAGCAGCCGCGGUAAUACGGAGGGUGCAAGCGUUAAUCGGAAUUACUGGGCGUAAAGCGCACGCAGGCGGUCUGUCAAGUCGGAUGUGAAAUCCCCGGGCUCAACCUGGGAACUGCAUUGGAAACUGGCAGGCUAGAGUCUUGUAGAGGGGGGUAGAAUUCCAGGUGUAGCGGUGAAAUGCGUAGAGAUCUGGAGGAAUACCGGUGGCGAAGGCGGCCCCCUGGACAAAGACUGACGCUCAGGUGCGAAAGCGUGGGGAGCAAACAGGAUUAGAAACCCGUGUAGUCCCAUGA